AUUGAACGCUAGCGGGAUGCUUUACACAUGCAAGUCGAACGAGUGGCGGACGGGUGAGUAAUAUCUCGGAACGUGCCCAGUAGAGGGGGAUAACUACUCGAAACAGUAGCUAAUACCGCAUACUAUCGGAGCGGCCGAUAUGGGAUUAGCUAGUAGGUGGGGUACAGGCUCACCUAGGCAACGAUCCGUAGCUGGUUUGAGAGGAGGACCAGCCACACUGGGACUGAGACACGGCCCAGACUCCUACGGGAGGCAGCAGUGGGGAAUAUUGGACAAUGGGGGAAACCCUGAUCCAGUCAUCCCGCGUGUAUGAGAAGGCCUUCGGGUUGUAAAGUACUUUUAGCAGAGAAGCGGUAUCUGCAGAAGAAGCACCGGCUAACUACGUGCCAGCCGCCGCGGUAAUUC
rnacentral:rRNA from 1 species